ACCUGAUCGGCGGAAAGGGGGUGCUGCAGAGCCCGAAAUUGAGGGGGCGGGGCAUGAGGGACGGAGGCGGGCUUUCGGCUGUCAAAAUCUGUUUGGUUGCUUUUCUCCCUGUAGAACUGAAUCUGGAGUUGUUUUCCUCUGUGAACCGGAGAAUGCAGUAAUGAAAAGACCUGAAGAUAGGAUGCUUUGGAGCCAAACAAAACUGAGCAUUGAAGAGAGAGAAGUAAGGAGCAGGACAGUAAGCUUCUCUGAAAAUGGAGAGCAUACCGGCAUCACAACUGCAGUGACUUGACUGGCACCAAAGGCAUUCAGGUGCGCAUGUGAGAAGGCACUCCCGACUGUGAAGAAUCAUGUGGACACUGAGUAGGUGUCACUGUGAUGGGGAAGAUCCGCGUAGACACCGAACAGGCAUCUGGUAGACUCUGGAGAACUCCAUAAUAGGAGAAGCACCUUAAAUCCUGCCUGGACCACAAAAUGUGCACAACAGGUGCAUACUAGAUGAACGAAGGAACAACCAAGAGAAGGGAUGAAGAGGGUUCGGGACAGGUGAGUGAUUGAUCAAACAUUUUCUGAAGAGAGGUUGGCCCCUGGCUGUGAGAAGGCACAUGCUCUGGUGAUUGAAGUGACAUUUCUUUUUUUUUUUUUCAAGAUUUAUGAUUUAUUUAUUUUAAAGACAGAGUUACAGAGAGAGGUAGAUACAGAGAGAGGUCUUCCAUCUGCUGGUUCACUACCCAAAUGGCCGCGAUGGCCAGAGUGAGCUGAUUCAAAGCCAGGAGCCAGGAGCCAGGAGCCAGGAGCCAGGAGCCAGGAGCUUCUUCUGGGUCUCCCACGCAGCUGCAGAGGUCUAAGCACUUGGGCCAUCCUCCACUGCUUUCCCAGGCCAUAGUAGAGAGCUGGAUUGGAAGUGGAGCAGCUGGGACUCAAACUGGCACCCAUAUGUGAUGCUGGCUGCAGGCCAGGAGCAGCUGGGACUCAAACUGGCACCCAUAUGUGAUGCUGGCUGCAGGCCAGGGUUUUAACCCACUGUCCACAGCGCCGGCCCUGAAAUGGCAUUUCUUCAUUGCACAAGUGAUUCCUGCUUUUCUACCUCCAGCCUCUGUCUUUUAUGUCAGUGUAAAGGACAUUCUUCUUCUUCUUCUUCUUUUUUUUUUUUAAAGAUUUUAUUUAUUUACUUGACAGGUAGAGUUACAGACAGUGAGAGGGACAGACAGAGAGAAAGGUCUUCCUUCCAUUGGUUCACUCCCCAGAUGGCCACAAUGGCCGGAGCUGUGCUGAUCCGAAGCCAGGAGCCAGGAGCUUCUCCUGGUCUCCCAUGGGGUGCAGGGGCCCAAGCACAUGUGCCAUCCUCCACUGCUAUCCCAGGCCACAGCAGAGAGCUGGACUGGAAGAGGAGCAAGCGGGAUUAGAACUGGUGCCCAUUUGGGAGGCCAGCGCCACAGACGGAGGAUUAACCUAAUGCUCCAGGACAGACAUUCUUAUUCCAUGCCUUAGUUUACCUCAAACCGGGGGGUCCUGUCGAGCUCUGCAAUUUUCCAAGUACGCACGCAUUUACAAUACCCUAGUCAGCAGACAAAUCUGGAGGUGCAGAAACAUUUCCGGCAUCCCCAGAGCAGAGGCUGAAAUGUGACUGCUGUUGUAGUCUAACAAGAGCAAUGCUUCAUCUCUGAGGGCCAGGGCUCUCUGGGCCAAAGUCAGAGGGCAGAAUCGACGAUGCUGCACCUCUGUUCCCUUCCUAGUUAGGCACUCCCAAAGGACCUGCCCUGUCAAAAGAGUACUCAUCUGAGUGCU